AGAUCUGGGGUGAGCAGAAGUCUUCACUUCCGCGGGACAAAGGCCCAGGAGGGUCGGGACUGUUGAGGCAUGCGGCAAAUACGCUGGAGCAAAAGUGGUGCCCAAUGCUCGGCUAACCUUCCCGGACUUCGGUUUUCUACAGUCUUGACGCGAGCAGCGGGUGUAGUAACUAAUCUGGAGACAAGGAUGACAGGAAAGGACACGCACGGACCUCUCCAACUGUAAGGGG